rnacentral:rRNA from 1 species
AUUGAACGCUGACGGCAGGCUUAACACAUGCAAGUCAAAAGAGUGGCGGACGGGUGAGUAAUGUCUGGGACACUGCCCGAUGGAGUUGGAUAACUACUGGAAACGGUAGCCAAUACCGCAUACUAUCGGAUGUGCCCAGAUGGGAUUAGCGAGUAGGUGGGGUAAUGGCUAACCUAGGCGACGAUCCCUAGCUGGUCUGAGAGGAUGACCAGCCACACUGGAACUGAGACACGGUCCAGACUCCUACGGGAGGCAGCAGUGGGGAAUAUUGCACAAUGGGCGCAAGCCUGAUGCAGCCAGGCCGCGUGUAUGAAGAAGGCCUUCGGGUUGUAAAGUACUUUCAGCGAGGAGGCGUUACUCGCAGAAGAAGCACCGGCUAACUCCGUGCCAGCAGCCGCGGUAAUAC